rnacentral:rRNA from 1 species
UACGGGGGGGGCAAGCGUUGUUCGGAAUUACUGGGCGUAAAGGGCUCGUAGGCGGCCAACUAGGUCAGACGUGAAAUCCCUCGGCUUAACCGGGGAACUGCAUCUGAUACUGGAUGGCUUGAGUUCGGGAGAGGGAUGCGGAAUUCCAGGUGUAGCGGUGAAAUGCGUAGAUAUCUGGAGGAACACCGGUGGCGAAGGCGGCAUCCUGGACCGACACUGACGCUGAGGAGCGAAAGCCAGGGGAGCAAACGGG